rnacentral:tRNA from 1 species
AAAAAUAUUAUAUUUUAAUAAAUUUUA